CCCUUCCCGUUCAUCUCCCAACCGGGCCCCGCCGCAGGCUGAGCUAGAAGACGGCUGGGGACGAUGAUUGGCUGCCAGGCGUGGGGCGCCCUGUGAUUGGCCGGAUUCCUGGAGAGCGUCGCCGGAUCGGUGAGGGCGGGGCCGCCCCAGCCCAGCAGCCGCCCCUCCCCCCACCGGGGCUGCCCCUGACCCGCCCCCCGCGGGGACCCAGCCCCGGAGCGGCUGGAUGCAUCGCGCCGUGGAGCCGCUGGGGGGCAGGGCCGGUCGGGACCCCUUCGCCGUGGGGAGCCUGGGCUGCGGUGGGGCCUGGGCCGCCUGCCCCCCACCCCGGGCCUGGCUGCCCGCCACCAGGUGCUCUUCCAGCCUCGGGCAGGCCCCGCUGCCCCCCCACCUCCUGCCCCCCCACGGAGGCAAUGGGGUCCCCCCCCACAAGUCCUUCUACCCCCCAGGGUAAGUUCUACCC